GUCUACGGCCAUACCACCCUGAACACGCUGAUCUCGUCUGAUCUCGGAAGUAAAGCAAAGCCUGGAAGGGGCAGGUGAAUUAUUUGCUGAGUUG
rnacentral:rRNA from 1 species